AGUGAUCAGGUCAACCACCUGAAGCUAAGCAUGUUUAGGCCCAGCCAGUACUUGGAUAGGAGAUCAUUUAGGAAAAGCUUUGGAUGCUACAGGAAGAUGUGUUGAUGAGGUCAGCAGGGGCAUUUACCCUGCGGGCUGUGUGUGGAUGCCCAAACCCCAGUGCAGUGACGGGGACACUGUUCUGUAAAUAUGGCCACCAUAUGAGACCUAAAAUCGAGCUUUACAAAAGACUCUCAAUAACGCAUGUUUACUAUGUACAGCAGUUUGAAAUAAUGAUCAUUAUUGAAGACACCAUAACAUGAUGCUGAACACUAAACUUAUUAUAUCUCACGGGGGCAUAGAGGUUAGUGCUGCUGCCUCAUAGAGUUCAAAUCCUAGCCCUUUCUAUGCAGAGCUGGCACAUUCUCUGGAUUUCUACUUGAGUUGUCUCCAUUUUCAUCCCUUAACUAAAGAUGUGCGGGGUUCGGUUUAUUGCUGACUCUAAAAUGGCGAAGAUGAGUCUAAGAGUGUGCGUUGUGAAGGACUAGUGUCUCACUCAGUGUUGGCGCACAACUUGGGAUAUGCUCUGGCUUCAUAAUAACCUGCAUUACAAUAAGUGAGUACAAAAACACAUUCAUAUAAUAUUCUCUUGAUUUAUAAUAAUUAUAUUUUUUUUUAACAUUUUCCUGUGUGAAUGUUGCUGUGCAGAUUAAAACUGACAAUAAUACUGACCUUAAUUUGUUAAUCUAGUACCCUAUUCAUAAUGAUUUAUAUAAUAUUUUUGCAGUUGAUUUUUAUAACAUUUUGUGUGAAUUGUACUAGAUAAAACAGUGAUAUGCUGGAUUAUUUAUUCAUAUACAUGCAGUGAAGAUU